UGCCCAGAAAAACCAAAUCAACCCUUCAAUCCUUCCAUCGAUCCCACCCUUCCAUAUAACACACCAAUCCUUCCAUCCUUCCCUUCCAUAUAGAACACCAAUCAAAUCAUAUCAAACAUUUUCGUCACAAACAGCUUCCAUAAACAACAGUUUAAUCAAUUAUUUUCGCUCUUUCCAUACACAACAGGAUUAUACUGAGACGCUGCCGCCCUUCCAGAGGAGACGCUGCCGCCGAUGUAAGGGAUCAUCGCGCCGACGUCCCAGAGGAAACGCCGCCGCCGCCGACCUUCGUGGGGAGACGCCGCCGCCGCCGCCUGCGCUAAACCCCAGACGCAUGGUGAUGUAGGCGCGGCCGUCGGGGCAUGGCGGCGCCCGAUGUGGCGCGGGGCGGAGGAGCUAUGAGGGGUGUGGCAGAUCCGCUGGAGUUGUGCACGUGAUCUGGUGAUGGUGGCCUCCGCCUCCGGACCAGAAUCCGCCACCGCGACCUCUCAUCUAUGCGUCGAGCUCCUCUUCCCGUCUCUCUGAUAUCCGUUGGCACGACUGCUGCCAUGGCCACAAGCCCGCAACGAGGACCUCCACCACAGCCGUAGCCAUGUUGAGGUCAGUAUUCUUCUUCUAGCUCCGCGCAUGGGAAGCAGGUUGGUUGUCGGCUUCCUUGAACAAACAGGAACCAUUCCCAUUAGCAGAACAGAGUUUGUUGGCUUCAGCAUUCUGGUUAGUUACCCUAUUUAUGUUUAGGCAAUUCGUUCUCCCAUGUAACCAUUGAUACAAUUUGUCUGUCUUACAACUCAUGCAGGGUGAGUCACCAAGAGGAAAAGAAAACAUCCGAUUCAGAUGCUAACCUAUGUUUAUUGCUGAUUUCACCUACCACCUGUGUUCAGGCAGAGAUGUAGCCUACCUACUCCAAUUUGUUCUUGGAAACCAUGAACGGCCACUGAUGGUGAUGGAAAAAGAAAGAAACAUAAGCAGGUAACUGGACCUUAUCUUCAGGCCUGGACUGUUACAUUUUGUCAUAAUCUGUCUUAUUGGUACCUUCCUCUUUGUUUCACAAUGUCAUAAUCUGUCACCAUUGUUACUCUGAAUCUGACCACAGCCAAACGGUCUCGAUCUUUGCACCAGUCUGUGUGUCCUCUCAAGGGACUGCAAGCACGAGGAGGGUGUCAAGGCCCGGUGCGGCACCAUCAACAACUACACCUCCCAACUCCUCACUUACGAGUACAAACUUAGCACAUCUCUUUUGGUAUAAUGACGCGCUGAACAAGAACAUAACGGUGCGGAAUAGUUCUCAAGAAAAAAAAAUCGUAUGAUAUAUAUGUACGGUAGAUGGUUCGUCAAGUGGUGAACUGCUUUGUAAAUUUCUGAUAUUGUAGUUACUGACGCUGAUUGAUUGAGAGAUUGCAGGGGGGUGUGGUCAGACAAAGUGCAGGAAUAGGAGGAGUGCGCCAAGAAUGAGACGGCGUGCCCUAACAUGUAUGUAUGCUUGUUUUUUUCAGUUUUCCAAAGGAAAAGGAAAAACAUGUUCACUAUUUAUUCAAUUGUGUAUAAUUAGGAGCGCUUAUUCACUCAAAAAAAUAUAGGAGCGUGUAACUGUUUAUUUAUAAUACAAACUAUCAUUUGCCAUUCUAUAUUGCCACAAAAGUUUCUUGAAAAUCAUAAAAAGAGGGCCAGUGAUGCUUAUGGGAAAGAAGGAAAUAAAAACACGUAAUGUGACCUACUCCCUCCAUUUGAAAAAGCUUGUCCCUCAAAUGAAUGUAUCUAGCACUAAUUUGGUGCUAGAUACAUCCAUUUGAGGGACAAAUUUUUUCGGACAGAGGAAGUACCGUUUUGUUCAUAUUCUUUGUAUUCUUUAAAAACUGCCUUUCAGAACUCGAGCGAAUGUGCCUGGAAAUGCAUUUGCCCUGCCCAAAGGACAAAGUCCAGUCCCGGCUGGCGUACUAUGGGAACAACAGGCUGUUUCAUCACAAACCCACAGUAAUAUACUGACUCUUCCUCUUUUUAAUCAGCAGUUUUCUGUUGAGAGAAGUGCAUAUUACACCCCCCAACUCUAGCCCUAGUCUAAUAUACACCCCUCAACUCCAAUACCGUCUAAAAUACACCCCUCAACUCUCAAAACCGGCUAGAAUUCAACCCUCCCCUCCCUGUUGACCGGUUUUGACCCAGUUUGACCGGUUUUGACUGAGUGAACAGUAAAAAUAAAAAUUUUAAAAACAAAAAAAUGUUUUUUUUGACAAAAUUCAAAAAGUUCCAAGUUUUUGCACCGCGUGAACAGUAAAUUCAAAAAAAUCACCUUUUCAGCAUGUUUGGAUACCUGAGUAAAUUUGAGAUGUCCGUAAAUUCGAAAAAAAUUCAAAAUUUUCAGCAUGGUGAACAGUAAUUCGGGAAAAAAAUCCAAAAAAAAUCAGCACGCGCUCAAACAUCAUCCAUGCAAAAAAAGGGUUUUUAAAAAAAUCGAUUUUACUGUUCGCCAAGCUGAAAUUUUGAAAAAAAAAUCGAAUUUACGGACAUCUCGAAUUUAUUCAGGUGUCCAAACAUGCUGAAAAGGUGAUUUUUUUUUUUAAUUUACUGUUCACGCGAUGAAAAAACUUGGAACAUUUUUGAAUUUUUUUCAAAAAAAAUUAUGGUUUUUAAAAUUUUAUUUUUACUGUUCACUCAGUCAAAACCGGUCAAACUGGGUCAAAACCGGUCAACAGGGAGGGGAGGGUUGAAUUAUGGCCAGUUUUGUGAGUUGGGGGGUGUAUAUUAGACGGUAUUGGAGUUGGGGGGUGUAUAUUAGACUAGGGCUAGAGUUGGGGGGUGUAAUAUGCACUUCUCUCUUUUCUGUUCAUCAAAUUUACGAGAAGGAGCCAUUUGCAUUCCUAAUUAUAAUGUGUGUGAGAAGUAAUUGAAGAACAAUACAUCAGCUAAUCUUAGUGAAUUUCAUAAUACAUGACGACAAAUGCAGCAAUUUUUAGAUAACAAGAUGCAUGUUGUUGCAGUACACAAAAUUGAGAACUAAUCCUACCUAAGAGAAGAAAAUUACAAGAUAGCAAGACAUGAACUACUUGAUGUAUAUCUGGACAGUAUUAUAGGAUGGACAAUUCUAAUCCAUUGCUGGACUUUGGACCAAGUGAUAUAGGAUGUCCAAUAAAAAGCUUGACAUCCAAAUAAAAAGCUUGACUGCAAUAAACUUUUGGCUCGGUGGUCUUUUGAGACCUAACUUACAAAUUGUAUAACUUUUGGCUCACUGAACUUGGUCUUUCUUUUUUGCAGCAUGAUGAUUUCAGAAGUACAAUUGAAACAUUCUUCUAUAUGUUACCCUCUGCUAUUAGAAUGUAUUGUUGAAACUGAGCAGCAAAAAAUCAAGUUGAUAAUGCAUUGAUACAUCUUAUUAAGAUUAUCGUGUCUCAUGUGUUAGCUUAUUAGUUAUGAUAGUGGAAAAUGGUUCACUUAUUUAACCAACUAUCACACACCCGUUAUUCUGGUGUGUCCAUAUGCAUUUCUUUUUUCUUUACGCUUGGAACUUUAUACAUGAAAAUUGAUGUUGGCCAGAGUUAGGGUUGUUGUACUAGGCAUAUCUUAUUUCAAUUAGUAUCUAUAGUUUCAGCUCAUUAGCUUGUGAUUUUCUCUAAAAUAAAGUAUGGUAGAUGUAUCAUUCAAAAGAGUAUUGGUCAAGAUCGUACAUUGCACGUGCAAACUUACUAGGCAAAAAAAACACUUAGUCACAUUUGGAACUUUGUAGUGCAAAAAAAUGAUAGUUGGAUAAUUCAUGAUACACGUGUAUUGAUGGCAAAAACAUUUAGCUAUUUAUACCUGAACUUAAUUUUUGGGUUAAUUGUAAAUAUUUGGGGGGGGGGGGGGGGGGGGGGGGGAGCAUGGUUCACCUAUAAAGAGGUAGCGUUUCAGACUCUCGCAUGAUGACAUACUGAAAAGUGUAUACCUUUGUUGCAAGUCAGUUACAUUCCAGGUCUCUUGUAGCGCUUCCGAUAAACAUGAGGAAGGAAUCCCCGCAAAAGAAAAUUGCGGAAGGAUUGCUGCUGUUGUUCAUGGGAAAUUAUCUUGCUUCGACAUACACAGGCACUCGUGCAGCCAUGAAAUUAUCUCUCUGAAAAGAUAGGAAUGUGGAGGCUCAUGGAGGGAGUGCAAUAGGGGACAAGAGAGAUGGCGGGGAGAGGAGGUGCCGCCCGAUGCUGUGGAGGGGAGAGGAGGGUGCAGUGACACCGUCAAGGGAAGGGAGGCCCUAUGGACAAGAGCAGAUGGGCUCCGCCAGUGGCGUGGAGAGGAGGAGUGUUGAUGCUGUGGAGGGGAGAGGAGGUUGCCGUGAAGUUGUCGAGGGAAGGGAGGUGGCAAAGAUAGGAGCGGACAGGCUUCGCCAGUGCCGUGGAGAGGAGGAGCGCCAACGACAUGGAGGGGAGAGGAGGGGCGGCCCAGACUGAUGAAGGGGCAGUGUCUUCUGGUUGAACAAUGCCAAUAUCGCAUAGUGGGCCAUCUCAAUUUCAUAUGACCAAGAGUUGUGAUGUAUUUGAAUAUAUGUUGAUAUGAUGAGGUAAUAAUUGGUCAAUUAUGAAAUAUUUGCUUCUCUCUGCCGCAAUAUAAAGUUAUUCUUACUGUAUUACCCUAUGUUCAAUGGAGGAUGUUCGGCCACAAGGCUUCAUCU